rnacentral:lncRNA from 1 species
GAAAAUUGGUUCCCACAACCUUGUGUGAGGAAACAACCAUGCCUGCAACGUUAGGUCAAGAAACUCCUACCCUUCCUGCAACAUUGGGUGAAGAAGCUCAUAGUAUUCCCUCAACCUCGAGUGACGAAAAUCGUGGCAUUCCAACUAACUUGGAUGAAGAAACUCCUACUGAUCCUGUGACCUUGGCAGAGGAAAGCCCCAGUAUUCCUGAAACCUUGGAUGAAGAAACUCCAUCUGUUCCUCCAACAUUCAGUGAAGAAACUCCAGCUGUUCCUCCGUCAUACAGUGAAGGAACUACUAUUCCUCCUUCCUUCAACGAGGAAACUCCU